rnacentral:rRNA from 1 species
GAUGAACGCUAGCGGGAGGCCUAACACAUGCAAGCCGAGCGGUAUUGUUUCUUCGGAAAUGAGAGAGCGGCGUACGGGUGCGUAACACGUGUGCAACCUGCCUUUAUCUGGGGGAUAGCCUUUCGAAAGGAAGAUUAAUACUCCAUAAUAUAUUGAACGGCAUCGUUUAAUAUUGAAAGCUCCGGCGGCUAGAGAUGGGCACGCGCAAGAUUAGCUAGUUGGUGAGGUAACGGCUCACCAAGGCGAUGAUCUUUAGGGGGCCUGAGAGGGUGAUCCCCCACACUGGUACUGAGACACGGACCAGACUCCUACGGGAGGCAGCAGUGAGGAAUAUUGGUCAAUGGGUGCAAGCCUGAACCAGCCAUCCCGCGUGAAGGACGACUGCCCUAUGGGUUGUAAACUUCUUUUGUAUAGGGAUAAACCUACCCUCGAGAGGGUAGCUGAAGGUACUAUACGAAUAAGCACCGGCUAACUCCGUG